AUUGAACGCUGGCGGAAUGCUUUACUCAUGCAAGUCGAACGGCAGCACGGACUUCGGUCUGGUGGCGAGUGGCGAACGGGUGAGUAAUACAUCGGAACGUGCCCAGUCGUGGGGGAUAACGUAGCGAAAGCUACGCUAAUACCGCAUACGAUCUAAGGAUGAAAGCGGGGGAUCGCAAGACCUCGCGCGAUUGGAGCGGCCGAUGGCAGAUUAGGUAGGUGGUGGGGUAAAGGCUCACCAAGCCGACGAUCUGUAGCUGGUCGUAGAGGACGACCAGCCACACUGGGACUGAGACACGGCCCAGACUCCUACGGGAGGCAGCAGUGGGGAAUUUUGGACAAUGGGCGCAAGCCUGAUCCAGCCAUUCCGCGUGCAGGAUGAAGGCCCUCGGGUUGUAAACUGCUUUUGUACGGAACGAAAAGGCUCUGGUUAAUACCUGGGGCUCAUGACGGUACCGUAAGAAUAAGCACCGGCUAACUACGUGCCAGCAGCCGCAGUAA
rnacentral:rRNA from 1 species